AUGGCGCCUGAAGCGGAAGUGAGGGGGCGUUGGAAAGUAAAUGUGGCGUAAUCCCUUUUCCACACUGUAAACUCGGGCGCCUGAGGAUUUGUCUGCAGCAGGGAUCCCCAUUCACAUUUAAAGGCGCGUCUCAUUUUGUGGGGUGACGAGUCUUUCUCGGCUGUGCUGCCUCAUUCGCUCACUCGCCCAUCCAUCCAUCCAUCCAUCCAUCCAUCCAUCCAUCCAUCCAUCCAUCCAUCCAUCCAUCCACUCGUUCCCGUAUCUACGCCGGACGCGUCACCUCCCACCUAUGUCCCCCCCCCCCCCACACACACACACACACUCUCCUUCAAGCUCUGAGUGACCGCGCUUUGCCCGCGGCGAGAGCCGACAGGUUUCACUAGCGGGAGACGUGCACUCGGGACUCGCUUCCGGCGCUGAGGGCGGAACUCAGCCUCCGGCCGGGUGCGCGCGCCCGCCGGACCCCGGAAACGCGCUCCGGAGGCUGGGUAGGGGGCGUGGCCGUGGUCAGGCUGGCAUCUUCUGCCCGGCGACUCAGUUACCUAGGUAACAGCGGCAGAGGCGGGCCUGACGUCACGGGCGGCGCGCCUCCCGCACUGCGACACUGGGCUGACUGGACAGCGUGCGUGGCCAGCGGUCGAGCGGGUUGAGCUGCUGCUUCCCUAGCCCUUGCCUGGGCGCAGGGAGCCGCUUCGCGUCGUCCGGCUGUCUCUCCUUUCCCCUGUUACCUUCAAAGUAAUCUUCUGGCUGCCUUAGAACUAAAAUUAACACUCAUAACCUAGAGAAGUGAGUGGCACAUGGAGAUUCAGAGGACAGUGUUAGUUUAGAGGUAGAGAAGCAGGAAAAGCCAAAUAAACGCUACCUAAAUCACAAAGGAAAUGGAGCAAGAGACUCCAGAGAAGGUGGACUCUGCACAGGAGAAGGUCAGAGGCAAGUCCCAGCCAGCAGAUGACUCGGAGGACAGCCGAGAAAAGGCUGGGACAGAAGGGACGGGAGAACUGACCGAAGCCUAUGAGCUGCAGGUAGCUGAAGAAAUGGCAAAAGAGAUCAAGAAGAAAAUAAGAAGGAAGCUAAAGGAGCAGCUGACCUACUUUCCUCCAGACACUCUGCUGCAUGACGACAAGCUGGGCAGUGAAAAAAGGAAGAAGAAGAAGAAGAAGAAAGUCCCAGUGCCAGCUAAGCCUGAGACGAGUCCCUCAGAUGUCUGUGACAGUGCAGCUGAAGGUGAGCAAAAGAAAGAAGGCGCCCCUGAGGGGUCUCACCACAGGGAGGGAGGAUGCUCAACAGAACAGAAUGCAGAUGCCAGUGUACCAGAGAACACAAAGCCCAAACCCAAGAAGAUGAAGAAGAAGCCUAAAGCAGUUUCAGAGGAUAAUGAAGAGACUAAUGGAGAUGGUGUUCAUGAGAUAACAGGCCGAGACAGCCCAGUUCAUCCCAAGUGUUUGCUCGAUGACGACCUCGUCAUGGGAGUCUACAUUCACCGAACCGAUCGGCUUAAAUCUGACUUUAUGAUUUCUCACCCAAUGGUAAAGAUCCAUGUGGUUGAUGAACACACUGGCCAGUACGUCAAGAAAGAUGACAGUGAGCGUCCCGUCUCAUCUUACUAUGAGAAAGACAACGUGGACUAUAUUCUCCCUAUUAUGACGCAGCCGUACGACUUUAAAAAGCUAAAGUCAAGGCUUCCAGAGUGGGAGGAACAAGUUAUUUUUAAUGAAAAUUUUCCCUAUUUGCUUCGAGAGUUUGAUGAGUGCCCAAAAGUCAUUCUGUUCUUUGAGAUUCUUGACUUUUUAAGCAUGGAUGAAAUCAAGAAUAACUCUGAGUUUCAAAACCAAGAAUGUGGCUUUCGGAAAAUUGCCUGGGCAUUUCUUAAGCUCCUGGGAGCCAAUGGAAAUGCAAACAUCAACUCAAAACUUCGUCUGCAGCUCUACUACCCACCUACUAAGCCUCGAUCCCAGCCAAAUGUUGUUGAGGUUUUUGAGUGGUGGUCCAAGUGUCCAAGGAAUCGUUACCCAUCAACACUGUAUGUAACCGUACGAGGGUUGAAAGUCCCGGACUGCAUAAAGCCAUCGUACCGCUCUAUGAUGGCUCUCCAGGAGGAAAGGGGUACACCAGUGUACUGUGAACGCCACCGUGAAACAAGUUCUGUGGACACAGAACCUGGAUUAGAAGAUUCAAAGGAGGAAGUAAAGUGGAAACGUCUGCCGGGCCAGGCCUGUCGUAUCCCAAACAAGCAUCUCUUCUCACUAAAUGCUGGAGAGCGAGGGUGUUUUUGCCUUGAUUUCUCCCACAAUGGAAGGAUAUUAGCAGCAGCCUGUGCCAGCCGAGACGGAUAUCCGAUUAUACUAUACGAAAUUCCUUCUGGACGUUUCAUGAGAGAAUUGUGUGGCCACCUCAAUAUCAUUUAUGAUCUCGACUGGUCAAAAGACGAUCGCUAUCUUGUUACUUCAUCAUCUGAUGGCACUGCCAGGGUUUGGAAGAAUGAAAUCAACAGCACAAGCACGUUCAGAGUCUUACCUCACCCUUCCUUCGUCUACACGGCUAGAUUCCACCCCGCCACACGAGAGCUGGUGGUUACGGGAUGCUAUGACUCUAUGAUUCGGAUAUGGAAGGUGGAUGCGAGGGAAGAUGCCGCCAUCUUAGUGCGCCAGUUGGAUGUCCACAAGAGCUUCGUCAACUCCAUCUGUUUUGAUGAUGAAGGUCACCACAUGUACUCAGGAGACUGCAUCGGCGUCAUCGCUGUGUGGGACACUUAUGUCAAAGUGACUGAUGUGCAGCACUCUGUGCGCCACUGGACAAUAAACAAGGAAAUUAAGGAAACUGAAUUCAGGGGAGUUCCAGUCAGUUACCUGGAGGUGCAUCCCAACGGAAAGCGUUUAUUAAUCCACACCAAAGACAGUACAUUGAGGAUCAUGGAUCUGCGGAUAUUAGCAGCCAGGAAAUUUGUGGGCGCAGCAAAUUACCGGGAGAAGAUCCACAGCACUUUGACACCGUGUGGGACUCUGCUCUUUUCUGGCAGUGAGGAUGGGAUAGUGUACGUUUGGAACCCAGAGACAGGAGAACAAGUGGCAAUGUAUUCUGAGCUGCCGUUCAAGUCAACUAUCCGAGACAUCUCUUACCAUCCAUUUGAGAACAUGGUUGCGUUUUGUGCCUUUGGACAGAGCGAGCCCAUUCUUCUUUACAUUUAUGAUUUCCAGGUGGCCCAGCAGGAGGCUGAAAUGUUGAAGCGCUACAGUGGGACAGUCCCGUUACCUGGGAUCCAUCAGAGUGAGGAUGCUCUAUGCACCUGCCCUAAACUGCCCCAGCAGGGCUCUUUCCAGAUCGAUGAAUUUGUCAACACUGAAAAUAAUUCAUCAAGAAAGAUUCAGCUUGUGAAACAGAGACUCGAAACUGUCACAGAGGUGAUACGAUCCUGUGCUGCAAAAGUAAGUAGCUGUUAUUACCAGGAAGACAACUUUAAAACUAAGUUUCCAUUGUGAUAUAUGAACAAAUUGGAUUGCACUAUUAUCGAGGUGACAGCUCCUGUAAAAGUUGUCUGAUGCGUACUUUUCUUAUUGAGCUUCCAUUUUACCAGAAUUAUGACACUAGCCCCCCAGAAUUGAUUAAGGAGAGUAUUUGUCAAGUAGAUGCAGAGGUUUGAAGAUUCACCAUCCUAGUUACUGGGUCCAGCACCCAGAAGGCAUCCUCCUUUUACAAGCACCCUGUUUACAUGUGACCUUUAAGCAGUUAAGGAGUCACAGUGCAGUGCCUUACAUCUUCCCUCCUCUUCUGACAUCUUACCAUUUAGUAACUAGAACUAUAUGUCCCAUAGUAAAAGAUGAGACAUCAGAAGAAUUAGGAUAGUUGGAAGACAUCUUCAUACAGCGUACUACAGAGGAAGAAGGUAGGCAUCUGCAGCUGUGUGCAGAACCGUGGCGUGAGACAGACCAUGCCAGAGAGUACCAGGCUGACCCCAGCACUGAGCUACUUAGUAUCAGUCAGGACCCAUCACACUUUACCUAAUUAUCAGUCAACCGGAUAUCGAUUAUAGACCAAGGGAAGGAAGAUGGGGAGGGGAAAGAGAACAGGCUGUGUUCUGACUUGGCUGCAGAUGUUCAGGAAGCUUAUUCCUGAUAGCAGUGAGUGUUGUAGUGAUUAAGCUCCAAGAUUACCAAAUCCCCUUAAGUGUGUAAUAUGUAGAAAACUGGUGGCAGCUUUCUGACUAGCGCCGACCUCUCCUUCCCCAACUCUUCCCCUCUGCUUCUCCCUGUCCCAGAUGGGAGCUGUAUCCUUCUCUACUAAUACUGUUGAAAUGUCAGUCGAGUCAGCUUCUCUGUACAUAUUUAACUAGUCAUUAGGGAGGAUGUACUCUGUACAUAUUUAACUAGUCAUUAGGGAGAACGCCCUGUUAACCCGAAGACUCCCCGAGGGUAAUAGGUAGCAUCUUUCAUUGUUGUGUCCCUAGCAUUUAACACAUGCAGAAUGAACCCUCCUCGAAACUAUAAUUACAUGUUUGAAAAUUAAAAUUAGGAAAGAUUAACAUUAUUAAUGCCUUUUUAUACUAUUUUAAAUAGCUUUUCAUCGAGAUGUAAUUCAUACACCAUAAUGCCCUUUUUUAUUUAUUCUUUCAUACAAAGCAUCCAAAUGGCACUUCCCCCUCCGUCCGCUCCUCCCAGCCCCUCACCACAUCAACCUUCCCUCCCCUUCAGAGGCACUCCUCCUCCACUUUCCUUCAGCGUCCGAGUUGUCUCCCAGGGAUAGCAAACCACACAGCAUUGUGAGAUGCAGUAAACAAGGCAGCUCUGUGAGUGCAGGCUCUGCCACAGAAGCCUGAGUGUGGUCCACAGAGCACAUGUAAAGAACCAACUCCAGCAGGUUGGCCCUGACCUCCACAUGCACGCCUACAUACAUCGUACACAAUAAGACAAAAGCAUGUAUAAUAAUAAAUCUCAAAAUUAAGUGCAUAGUUCACUUUUUAACUAUAUUCAGCAUUAUGCAAGUUCUCCACAUAGAAACGCAGUGUCUAUUAACAGCCCUUGCUAAUUUAUGAACAUAGCAUGUGUCCAUACAGACUCAGGUAACUGUUCAUGUGUUGCCCUAGAUUUUUUUGCAUGUGGAAACUUUAUUUAAAUAGAGUCAUAUAAUAUGCUGUCUUUGGAUUUAGGAAUUGGCAUUUUCAUUUUACAGAAUUCUACUAUGUAAUCCAGGAUGCCCUCGCAUCCCCUGAGUUUACCUCAGGGGUUUACCUCAAACUCAUUGUGAUCCUCAUAGCCCUGUGUCCCGUGGGCUUGGAUCGGAGGCAUAAGCAGCACGCCCACCUUAGUGUGUGGCCUGUCAGGACUGUCUCUCUGUCUUCCCACGAUCCCCAUGGAUACUGUGCAUCCUUUGUCAAACGUUCAUCAGCUCACCAGCGUCGGGGUUGUUUCUACCUCUUAACUUCAGGCCAGCACUGUUAUGGCCAUGUGUUGGAGCAAACAGUAUUGUACAGCCUGUGUUUUUAUUUCUCUGGGAUUUGUGUGUGGAUGGGAAAGUUUUUGGAUCACAUGAUAACUAUUUUUAACAUUUUGAGGAAUUCUCAAACUCAUAUCCAAAAUGGAUAAACCAUUUUAGAACCCGACAAAAAAGAUGUGAGGGUUCUAGUCUCUGCUUGUCUUCACCAAGACUUGGAUUCUUUGCAUCUUUUAAAGUUUCUCUCACUCUAGCCAAUGAGGCAUGGUACUGUUGCUUUUGAUUUGCCAUUUCCUCACAGCCAACCAGGUUGAGCAUUUUCAGCAUGUGGUUUUCUGUCUGCUCUGAGGAAAUACUUGUUGAAAUUAUUUGCCAUUUAAUUUUCAUCUCUUUAUUAUUCACUUUUAGUGAUUCUGCAUACACAGACAUAUGUACAUGUGCACAUACAUAGUGUGCUGCUGUCUUUCAUAUGCAAUCUCUACAAAGGUUUUAUGCCUCUUGUAUGCUCUCUCCACUCUCUUGAUGAUGUCUUUUGAAAGAAAAACAGUUGUAACUUUUUGUGGUUUAGUUUAUCUUCUUUGUUUUAUCCAUCUUUUUUGUAGCAUAUACAAAGUAGCAUUAUCUAGCCCUAAGUCUUAUAUAUUUAUUCCUUUGUUUUCUUCUUGAAUUUUUUUAUAGUUUCGGUGAUUUUAGCUAUGUGGUUAUUUUUGAGUUAAUUUUUAAAAUAUAACUUGGUCUGAGAGGUCAGUUGCAUCCAGCUGCUCAGUGGUUGGGCUGGUCCCUUGUUCACUUUGUCACUGCCACUGACCCAAACAGCCAAGUACACUGUGCAGCCAGCCUCUCACAUGCCACAUCCUGAAUAGUAAGGUUUUGGCACGUGCUUGACAAAAAUAGGAGUCUCUUUCUUUUCAAACUCUCAACCUGACGAUUACAUUUUUGAAGGCUCAGAUUAUCUUUUUUUUUUUUUUUUUUUUCUUUUUUCUUUUUUUCAGAGCUGGGGACUGAACCCAGGGCCUUGCGCUCGCUAGGCAAGCGCUCUACCGCUGAGCUAAAUCCCCAGCCCCAGAUUAUCUUAUACAGUUAUUUUAGUGACUACGAAUAUUUUUCAAUAUGCUUGGGAUAGAACAUUCACAGAAGCAUGUUAUAUGGGAAGACACACUGGAUGAAGGAAUUUCAGAUAAUAGCAGAUAGAGAAUAAAAUAAACUUUGAGGGUGGAGAAUGAUAGAGUGGGAAAGGCUGUUGUGUAGAGGAGGAUCAUGGGAGAUUUCCUAGAGAGAAACAUUUCAUAAAGACCCAGAGCGCUAAACUAGGAAUAAGGCUGAUCAAGGAUCAGAAAAGUUACUUUGAUUAACUGGGUAGUGAUGGCCAAAGGCAAGUGAGGUUUUAGGACAGGACUAGAAAGGUGUCACAGAGUAGAUUGUGCAUGCUUUUUAAAGAAUUUUGUCAGCACAAGAGCGAGUCAGUCUGUUGUCUUAGAGGAACAAUCCAGGUUGAAAAGGAGACUUGACUUUUAGCAGAGUAAGGUCUUACAAACACAAUGAUCAGCAGACAGGUCCACUGGUCCUAGAAGAAAUGCUAGGUAACCCCAUACGGACAGCAUGGAGCUGCGAAUAGUAAGCAGAUUGAAUACAGUGUUUGUUGACUUUGCAUACAUUUCUGAAACGGGCCUUUGGAUUUAUCCAGUGUGGUUAAAGAAACGAGCUCUUCAGGGUUUGGGCUUUCAGCAGCUAUGCAGCUACUGCUCCUGCUUUCUCAUGGGAUGAAGGAUUCUGGGCUGGAGGGAGCACAAGGAGGCUAAAGUAAAUGAUGGUUGUGUGAGCCUUUUGUUCAGGGCCAAAGUGCUUUUAAAAGAGCUAUAGAACCGGAUGAAGGCUCCGGUGGAGACAGCGUGGCUGAGGCGGCCCCUGAGAAGGCUCGGCAAGGGGACUGUACAGAAGAGCAUGAAAAGAGGAGUGGUUGACUGGCGCAUGCUGUGCAGAGAAUUGGUAAAGAGAGAAUGGAGUUGACCUUUAUUUUGGGCAAGAUAAUGGCACAAAACUCUUGGGAGUGAGCUGAGAGUGGACCUGGUCAACAAAAAUCUCUCAAUCACUUCACCACCACCAGGCCCUGCAAAGAAGCCAAGGGUGAAACAGUCAUUCGUGCUGACCACCGAUCAGAUCAUACAUCAGUUUGGAGUCCCUCAGACGG